AACGAACGCUGGCGGCAUGCCUAACACAUGCAAGUCGAACGAGACCUUCGGGUCUAGUGGCGCACGGGUGCGUAACGCGUGGGAAUCUGCCCCUCGGUUCGGAAUAACAGUUAGAAAUGACUGCUAAUACCGGAUGAUGACUUCGGUCCAAAGAUUUAUCGCCGAGGGAUGAGCCCGCGUAAGAUUAGGUAGUUGGUGGGGUAUAGGCCUACCAAGCCGACGAUCUUUAGCUGGUCUGAGAGGAUGAUCAGCCACACUGGGACUGAGACACGGCCCAGACUCCUACGGGAGGCAGCAGUGGGGAAUCUUAGACAAUGGGGGAAACCCUGAUCUAGCCAUGCCGCGUGAUCGAUGAAGGCCUUAGGGUUGUAAAGAUCUUUCAGGUGGGAAGAUAAUGACUGUACCACCAGAAGAAGCCCCGGCUAACUCCGUGCCAGCCGCCGCCGUAA
rnacentral:rRNA from 1 species